AAUGCGAGACUAGCAAUCCCAUAAACCGUGGCUCAGUUCAGAUCGUAGGCUGCAACUCGCCUACGUGAAGUAGGAAUCGCUAGUAAUCGCAGGUCAGCAUACUGCGGUGAAUACGUUCCCGGGCCUUGUACACACCGCCCGUCACACCAUGGAAGUUGGCCACGCCCGAAGUCGUUACUUUAACCCUUGUGGAGAAGGACGCCGAAGGUGGGGCUGAUGACUGGGGUGAAGUCGUAACAAGGUAGCCGUACCGGAAGGUGCGGCUGGAUCACCUCCUAA
rnacentral:rRNA from 1 species